UAAGAAGCGUCCAACUUUUGAUGAGAAAGAUAAGAAGAUUCAAGAACUAACCGCAGAACUCCGAGUGAAGAAACGGUUAAGUGCUUCAUAUCGAGAUCAGCUACUUACUCUCAUGAAAGAUGUUGAAAACCAUAAUGAUCAUUUAACAGAGAAAGUUCAAAUUGUCCGUAACAAUUUGAAGGAACUUGAAGCUAAAAGGCAGCAUCUUUUGGACCACAUCCAACCACGCUCGUAGGGAACUGUGAACCUUGAUGGAUAUUGACAUAUUUUUCCAUAUCUUGGAAAUGCACCACUAAGGAGAAUUUGAUAAAAGUGGUUAUGGAUAGUGCUAUGGCAAUUGUAUGGCAUUUUGGAUGGUGGCUGUGCUGUUACUGCUGGUGACCGACAAAAUGUAGCUGGGCUUGGUCAAUGCUACUAAAACCGGCUGGUGGUGGCAGUCUGAGUUGGAGAAAAUUUAUUUUUGUUUUCUAUAUGUUAAACCACCUCGUCUAGGAACUAAGGGAUAAAUUUAUUAUUUUUGUUUAUAUAUUCCAACUAUCCCCCCUUCAAGUGCAAGCCAGGUUCAUUUAUUGUUCAGAGGUCUAACACGUAAAUUUUUUGUAAAUUAGUGACGAUUAAAAUUGCACCUAGGCCUUUUUGUCAGCUUUAAUACCAUGUUGAACCAACUAACAAGAAAAACGAUUAUUUAUUAUUUAUAUUAAGAUUUUCGAUACUAUUUUUUUCUUUUACAUUUUGUUUUGCGCCCAUCUAGCUACUGAUAAUACCACCUUCCCCUGGAAGUAUGUCAUCUGCCAUUCACUUGUUCACUUUGUGACGAUUUCUAUUAAAUCUGUAUUGGACACGGAUUCAAUUGCUACAUUGAAAAUUCAGAACAGAAGUUUGAUUACCAAAAAUGGAACCUAAUUAAUUUUUAUCUUCCGUACCGAUUAUCUAAUUGUUAUCUUUCCAUGUAUGUGGGGAAAUUGUCAAGUGUAUUGAAUUUUUAGCAUCUAUGUUCGUUUUUGAUAUAUUCAUCACACAAAAAUGAUUUAACAGUGUUUAAUGAAUUUGUGAAGCAGAGAUGGGUGGAAGCUGUUGAGUCAAUGAAGAGGAGUUUGACACUGCGGUUUCCAUAUUGAUGUCUUAGAGGCCAAGGUUUGUGACUGAUAGUAUUUGUUGCGUAUAAGAGCAAGCAUUUGAAUCUGAGGAUCAAAGUUUCAAACUAAUUGCUUGACACCACCAAAAUGAGACACAUGAGAAGUUUUUGGAUGCGGCACCUUUCUUUAGCAACUCUUGGCACGGGGUGAGCAGUUACUGAUAGCCUUGCAUUUUCUAGUUAGGACAACAUAAACACGAUAGCGUAUGAGGAUGAAUUAGUAAUGAUCCCUUGAGAAGCUACGAAAGGCAUCAUCGAAUGAGCAAGUUUCCAAGAGAGAGAUGGCUAUUACUAUAGCCUUUGAGCUUGAAUGUGUUCUUAAUAGCUAUGCAUGUACGUGAGUUUGAAUUAGGUUAAAACUAUAUCGUAUUAAAGAGCUUCUUCUCCCAAUUUCUGGAAAAUUACGUUUUUCUCCAUCCGUAAAUAAUGUUUGAUCAGACACGCUGGUCGUGCAGAGACAAGCACCUGAUGCUAUUCCUCGUAGUCAUUUAGCAUAUCUUUAUGUAAGUUGCAUCAUCUCAUAUAAAGUAUCUAUUCUCUCCUUUUAGAUUCAAAUUUACAGACAGUGAUAUCAAAUAAAUCAUUUUCAUGUGGCAUUAUUAUGUUUU